UACGUAGGGCGCAAGCGUUGUCCGGAAUUAUUGGGCGUAAAGAGCUCGUAGGCGGCUUGUCACGUCGAUUGUGAAAGCCCGGGGCUUAACUCCGGGUCUGCAGUCGAUACGGGCUAGCUAGAGUGUGGUAGGGGAGAUCGGAACUCCUGGUGUAGCGGUGAAAUGCGCAGAUAUCAGGAGGAACACCGGUGGCGAAGGCGGAUCUCUGGGCCAUUACUGACGCUGAGGAGCGAAAGCGUGGGGAGCGAACAGG
rnacentral:rRNA from 1 species